UGUGGACAUGAAUUUUCAAUUCCUUUGGGUAAAUACCCAGGAACAUGAUUGCUGGAGAUUAUUUCCUUUUGUAAGAAACUGCCAAGCUGUCUUCGAAAGUGGCUGUUUCAUUCUGCAUUCCCACCCGCAAGAAGUAAAAAUUCCUGUUAUUUCACAUCCUCGCCAGUGUUUGGUGUUGUCAAUGUUCCAGAUUUGGGCCAUUCUAAUAGGUUUGCAACUUGUGAAUGAAGAAUCUUAAGGAAUACGUGAGUCAGCUAUUGCUGUACUUAUGCAAAAAGUAAUCCUAAAUCUUUCCAUAGUUACAAUCAGAUACAUUCAUCCUCAUGCCCUGGGUCUCUAAGUCCGCUGAGGUUUGGCUGCGCGAGGCUGGAGUCCAGGUUUCUGACCUUGCCGAGGUCUGCUUCACCUUAUGGGGCUCAUGAUCUCAGAGCACAAAAAUGCUAGAAGGCAAGCCGGAUUACAUGAUGUCUCUUAAAGAGCUUGCUCACACCUGGCAUACUACCUCUUCCCUCCCAUAUUUCAUUCGGCAGAGCAAGUGAUACAUGGCCUGGCCCCACAUCACUAAGGCCGGGAAAUAAUAUGUGCCUAUCUGAGCAGAAGGAACCGCCAAGUCAUGAGGGCAUGGAUGUAAUUUAUGUAAUUCAGAGAAAGCAUAAAGAACUGGGAACAACGAUCUAAUCUAUUAUAAGGGAUUGCUGUUUCUCACAGAGAGAACCUACCAAUGAGAUACAUAAGUAAGUGACCUCUUCCUGGGCAGUGGGGCUGCUGCUGACCUUUGGGUACUAGAAUGUGGGAUUGACACCCGUGCCCAGCGCUCCUGUGCGAUUAGAGCUGAAAUAAUCAUAACCACAGACUUUGAGGGCUUUGGUUCCUGGCCCCAAAUAACCUUUGAGCUUGCUGCUUCACAAACAGUGAAGGAAACAUGGAGACACAUCCUAUUUUAAGUGUCCUCGCCUGCUCAUUCCCGUCCUCCUGCCUCAUCCACAACCGUCAGGCUUCUCAGCCCACCGUGUACAGGGCUGCUCCGAGUCGCUCAGUGAUCCUCGUCCCCCCGCUCUCACCCAGCCCAGCGCUGCUGUGUUGCAUUGAAUACAUGCCUACGUUUCUGAAUCUCAGUGAUGAAGGAACGUUGCGAGAACCUGGCUGGGUUGUUUGUAAGCAGGUCCUGUCCUCAGAAAGGGAGGUCGGGCUCUCCUCUGAAAAUGUUUAGAUGAGCCUGCCUCAGAAGAAACUCAUAGCCUCAUAGCAUGGGAGCGCUGGGACUUUCGAGGGCAUCUAGCCAACCCUACUGUUUUAGAGAUCAAGCAAAUGAGGCCCAGAGAGUCCAUUUAGUGAAGGAACAAAGACCGGGGUCUUGGACUUCUUAUUCUCAAUCCAGGGGACCCAGAGUGUCUCACCGCUCCCAUCCUUCCCUGAGGCAGUUAGCUGCAUUCUUAUUAAACUGAUCAUGAACAUGUGCGGCAGGUCCCAGAUGAACUUCUAUAAAUACAAGGAUAUGGGGGCCUUGGACUCUCUCUGUUCAUACAGUCAUUGAGAGCUCCCCAAGCCAGCAAAUUAGACUAUUUGGUCUAGGAAAAGGAGAUCUCAGCUAAAAUGCAAAGAUGACUAUAGAGAUAAUCCUUAGUUUUUGAUCUUCUAAGGGCCCGAGGACCAGAGUUGCAUUUUAGAGACAGCCCUCCCCACCAGCUCGGGAAUUCCCAGGGCAAUCUCAGAGAAAACUAAGGGGAUGGAGGGACCCUGAAGCAUCUGAAGUUCAUCCCAAAUAAAUGGAAAUUGCUAAACUGA